rnacentral:misc_RNA from 1 species
GAUGAGAACGUAGCAAAAUGCGAUAAGUAAUGUGAAUUGCAGAAUUCAGUGAAUCAUCGAAUCUUUGAACGCACAUUGCGCCCGCCAGUAUUCUGGCGGGCAUGCCUGUUCGAGCGUCAUUUCAACCCUCAAGCCCCCGGGUUUGGUGUUGGGGAUCGGGCUGUACUCCAGCCCGGCCCCGAAAUCUAGUGGCGGUCUCGCUGCAGCCUCCAUUGCGUAGUAGCUAACACCUCGCAACUGGAACGCGGCGCGGCCAAGCCGUUAAACCCCCAACUUCUGAAUGUUGACCUCGGAUCAGGUAGGAAUACCCGCUGAACUUAAGCAUAUCAAUAAGCGGAGGA